rnacentral:tRNA from 1 species
GGGGUUGUGGCUCAGUGGUAGAGCGCUUGCCUAGCAUGCUUGAGGUGCGGGGUUCGAUCCUCAGCACCA